rnacentral:tRNA from 1 species
GGCUUCUUGUCGCGUGACUACAUUGGCUUUGAACGCCAUGACGGGGCGUUAAACUCGCCCAGAAGCCU